CUCAGCAAGACUCCUUUAAUAUCAUCAAAGGUUGAUGUCUGGUCAGCUGGGGUUCUAUUUUACCAAAUGCUCUUUGGCAGACGUCCUUUUGGGCAUGACCAGACUCAAGAACGAAUAUUACGUGAAGACACAAUUAUCAAGGCUCGCAGGGUUGAGUUCCCUUCAAAGCCUUCUGUCUCUAAUGAGGCAAAGGAUUUUAUUCGCCGAUGUCUAACAUAUAACCAAACUGAGAGACCAGAUGUUCUAACUAUCGCUCAAGAUCAGUAUCUUACAUACUCAAAGAAGUAGUGUACAAAGGCUCAGAUAAGAAGGGUUGCAUGGGGCAGGAAAGCUGACAAUUUCUACCGAUCAAUACUUGAAAGGGGAAAAAAAAAGGUUGUUCAGCAAUACCAACUUGGAAUUUUGUAUAUGCUAUUAAAGGUUUUGUAAAAACUUUUCCCCUGGCUUUUGAGGGCAAGAUUUUAGUUCCCCUCCCCUCCUUUUGGGCUAAAGU
rnacentral:misc_RNA from 1 species